rnacentral:tRNA from 1 species
CUAGAGAAAAAGCUGGACCAAAAAUCCACACCUAUCGGUUGUCAAAAGCGGCACAGGCGGCGGGUCUGUAGCUCAGUCGGUUAGAGCAUCGUCUUGAUAAGGCGAGGGUCGUUGGUUCGAUUCCAACCAGACCCACCAGGAAACGGCGACCCGUCCAGUGGCGACCGAAGCAAGUGCGGCAGCGCACCGUUGGCCGGUCCAAAGGCGGAAAAACCAUCGCGCAAACGAUCAAACAAACGAGCGGGGGAUUAGCUCAGCUGGGAGAGCACCUGCUUUGCAAGCAGGGGGUCGUCGGUUCGAUCCCGUCAUCCUCCACCACCUGUCCGCCCUGGAGGCAUCAGGCGUCCUCAUGGUUUUAAAAACCGUGAGGACGCCUGACUCCUUCAGGAGUUACGCUCUUUAACAAAAUGGAAGAAGGUUUAGUGUUGCGUGGCUCGCAAGAGUUGGGCAACACGGUGAUGAUUGCAUCAAACCCUGGGUAACCAGGGACGCAAGCAGUUAAAAGUAAAGUCUAAGGCCGGCGUUCUCCGAGGAGAGCGCAAGGUUAUAG